UACGUAGGUGGCAAGCGAUACUCGGAAUCACUAGGCGUAAAGCGCAGGUAGGCGGUUCAGUAAGUCUUUUGUGAAAGCUCCUGGCUCAACUGGGAGAGGUCAAGGGAAACUACUGGACUAGAGUGUGGUAGGGGAUACUGGAAUUCCUGGUGUAGCGGUGAAAUGCGUAGAUAUCAGGAGGAAUACCUAUGGCGAAAGCAGGUAUCUGGGCCAUCACUGACGCUGAGCUGCGAAAGCUAGGGGAGCAAACAGG
rnacentral:rRNA from 1 species